rnacentral:rRNA from 1 species
CUUAGACUGCAGUCGAACGGAGAAUUUGUAGCAAUACGAGUUCUUAGUGGCGAAUGGGUGAGUAACACGUAGGUGACCUGCCCCGAAGUGUGGAAUAACAGUCCGAAAGGAUUGCUAAUACCGCAUGUGGUCCCGGUCUUUAGAAAACCGGGUCUAAAGCAGUAAUGCGCUUCGGGAGGGGCCUGCGGUCCAUCAGCUAGUUGGUAGGGUAACGGCCUACCAAGGCGACGACGGAUAGGGGACCUGAGAGGGUGGCCCCCCACAUUGGCACUGAAACACGGGCCAAACUCCUACGGGAGGCAGCAGUCGGGAAUAUUGGUCAAUGGGCGAAAGCCUGAACCAGCAACGCCGCGUGCACGAUGAAGGCCUUCGGGUCGUAAAGUGCUUUUUAGAGGGAUGAGGAAGGACAGUACCUCUAGAAUAAGUCACGGCUAACUACGUGCCAGCAGCCGCGGUAAAACGUAGGUGACAAGCGUUAUCCGGAAUUACUGGGCGUAAAGCGCGUGCAGGCGGCUUCGCAAGUCGGGCAUGAAAUCUCUCGGCCUAACCGAGAGACGCUGUUCGAUACUGCGGAGCUUGAGGGUAGUAAAAGGUGGCGGAAUUCCGCAUGUAGUGGUGAAAUGCGUAGAGAUGCGGAGGAACACCAGUGGCGAAGGCGGCCACCUAGGCUAUCCCUGACGCUGAAGCGCGAAAGCUAGGGUAGCGAACGGGAUUAGAAACCCCGGUAGUCCUAGCCGUAAACGAUGUUAACUAGGUGUCGGCGAUUAAAAACCGUCGGUGCCGAAGCCAACGCGUUAAGUUAACCGCCUGGGGACUACGGCCGCAAGGUUAAAACUCAAAGGAAUUGACGGGAACCCGCACAAGCAGCGGAGCGUGUGGUUUAAUUCGAGGCUACGCGAAGAACCUUACCAGGUUUGACAUGUACGUAGUAGUGAAGCGAAAGCGGAACGACCCUUCGGGAGCGUACACAGGUGAUGCAUGGCUGUCGUCAGCUCGUGCCGUGAGGUGUUUGGGUUAAGUCCACUAACGAGCGCA